rnacentral:tRNA from 1 species
AAGAUUUUAAGUUAAUUAAACUAAUAGCCUUCAAAGCUGUCAAUAAAAGUUAUUGCCUUUUAAAUCUUA